CCUAUGCCAAUUUUAGGGAUGUUAUGCUCGGCUUGUCAUGAACCCAGUGACCAAAGCCUUGAAGAAGUUCUGUGUGAAGCUCCAGAAUGUUUUAAAGGAUUUUUGGGUACGAGUGAGGGCCACAUGUCUUACAUAUUCCACCCGGAGGAUUCUACGGUAAAGAUAUUCACAGACCGUGGACCCAAACCCCUUUAUCCUGCAAAACCUGGGAGUUUUCCCCCGGCUCUGGGGAUGAGAGAAUGGCUAAACAUCAGGCUGGCUCUUUGUAAAAUUGAACAGGUCCUAAGUGUUACAAAUGUGCCAGGAUAUGCGUUGGAAGAACAGGUCUGCGGCCGCAGUGAUCUCAAGGCUCUAAGAAUUGCUUCAAUGGACUAUAGCCCUGACAACAAAGUGACAAUUUUAGCCUGUGACCUUUAUGAUAAGGCUAAUGCUACAAAGUCUGUCAAUUCUCCGGUAGCUUCCAGAGCCCGCAAACAUGUAAACUUUUUUAUUCCUGUGUUUAGUUUUAAAUGGGUGGAUUAUCCAAUUUUCAUAACACUUAUGAAUAAGCUGGACAUUCUCUUCCAAAAUGGGGAACAGUUAAAGCGCUGGGCGAGGCUUUCCUUGAGACAGAGUCAAGACCAAAAGGCCCGACGGCGGAUCUACCCCUGGAGUGAAAACUUACCAUGUGUUGAUGGACAUAGCAAGAGAGCCUUGCCUUUUGAGGGUGAACUCGACACGGACAAUGGCGGUUGGUUGCAUAAGCUCCCAGGAUCUGUAAGAAAGGCAUCGUAAAAUACCUUAAGAAUGUAACGAUAUAAAAUGUAUGUACUAAAUAUUUUGAAUGAAAUAAAUGGUUUUAAAAUCAGAAUCUCACCACGUUAUGAACUCUCGCGUUUGUUCACUCUUAGCGCAGUCUGUCCCUGAGAAAAAUCUUGCGGAAAAAGCCAUGUGCGCGCGCAUGUGCGUGAGGGAGUUUUCUGUAGAGGCUGUGUGUGUGUGUGUGUGUGUGUGUGUUUCAAAAAACAGAAAAAGGGGGGCGGGUUGUUUGUUAAAAAAAAUACCCAUGCAUGCCUGGUGGGUCAUUUGAAAC
rnacentral:lncRNA from 1 species